AUUGAACGCUGGCGGCAUGCUUUACACAUGCAAGUCGAACGGCAGCGCGGGCUUCGGCCUGGCGGCGAGCGGCGAACGGGUGAGUAAUACAUCGGAACGUGCCCAGUAGUGGGGGAUAGCUCGGCGAAAGCCGGAUUAAUACCGCAUACGACCUGAGGGUGAAAGCGGGGGAUCUUCGGACCUCGCGCUAUUGGAGCGGCCGAUGGCAGAUUAGCUAGUUGGUGGGAUAAAGGCCUACCAAGGCGACGAUCUGUAGCUGGUCUGAGAGGACGACCAGCCACACUGGGACUGAGACACGGCCCAGACUCCUACGGGAGGCAGCAGUGGGGAAUUUUGGACAAUGGGCGAAAGCCUGAUCCAGCAAUGCCGCGUGUGUGAUGAAGGCCUUCGGGUUGUAAAGCACUUUUGGCGGGAACGAAAAGGACUGUGCCAAUACCACGGUUCGAUGACGGUACCCGCAGAAUAAGCACCGGCUAACUACGUG
rnacentral:rRNA from 1 species